CUACACACGUGCUACAAUGCCCACUACAAAGCGAUGCCACCCGGCAACGGGGGAGCUAAUCGCAAAAAGGUGGGCCCAGUUCGGAUUGGGGUCUGCAACCCGACCCCAUGAAGCCGGAAUCGCUAGUAAUCGCGGAUCAGCCAUGCCGCGAUCGAAUACGUUCCCGGGCCUU
rnacentral:rRNA from 1 species